UACGGGGGGGGCAAGCGUUGUUCGGAAUUACUGGGCGUAAAGGGCUCGUAGGUGGCCAACUAAGUCAGACGUGAAAUCCCUCGGCUUAACCGGGGAACUGCGUCUGAUACUGGAUGGCUUGAGUUUGGGAGAGGGACGCGGAAUUCCAGGUGUAGCGGUGAAAUGCGUAGAUAUCAGGAAGAACACCCGUGGCGAAGGCGGCUUUCUGGGACGGUACUGACGCUGAGACGCGAAAGCGUGGGGAGCGAACAGG
rnacentral:rRNA from 1 species